GACGUAGGGUGCAAGCGUUGUCCGGAAUUAUUGGGCGUAAAGGGCGCGUAGGCGGCGUGACAAGUCACUUGUGAAAUCUCCGGGCUUAACCCGGAAAGGUCAAGUGAAACUGUCGUGCUAGAGUACAGAAGGGGCAACGGAAUUCUCGGUGUAGCGGUGAAAUGCGUAGAUAUCGAGAGGAACACCUGCGGCGAAGGCGGGUUGCUGGGCCGACACUGACGCUGAUGCGCGAAAGCCAGGGGAGCGAACGGG
rnacentral:rRNA from 1 species